UACGAGGGGGGCAAGCGUUGUUCGGAAUUAUUGGGCGUAAAGGGCGCGUAGGCGGCUUGGUAAGUCUUGUGUGAAAUCUUCGGGCUCAACUCGAAGUCUGCAUAGGAAACUGCCGAGCUUGAGUAUGGGAGAGGUGAGUGGAAUUUCCGGUGUAGCGGUGAAAUGCGUAGAUAUCGGAAGGAACACCUGUGGCGAAAGCGGCUCACUAGACCAUAACUGACGCUGAGGCGCGAAAGCUAGGGGAGCAAACAGGAUUAGAUACCCUGGUAGUCCUAGCCCUAAACGAUGAUCGCUUGGUGUGGCGGGUAUCCAAUCCCGUCGUGCCGAAGCUAACGCGUUAAGCGAUCCGCCUGGGGAGUACGGUCGCAAGACUGAAACUCAAAGGAAUUGACGGGGGCCCGCACAAGCGGUGGAGCAUGUGGUUUAAUUCGACGCAACGCGAAGAACCUUACCUAGGCUCGAAAUGUAGUGGACUGGGGUGGAAACAUCCCUUCCCCGCAAGGGGCUGCUAUAUAGGUGCUGCAUGGCUGUCGUCAGCUCGUGUCGUUAGAUGUUGGGUUAAGUCCCGCAACGAGCGCAACCCUUAUUUCCAGUUGCCACCAUUAAGUUGGGCACUCUGGCAAAACCGCCUCGGAUAACGGGGAGGAAGGUGGGGAUGACGUCAAGUCCUCAUGGCCUUUAUGUCUAGGGCUACACACGUGCUACAAUGGCCGGUACAAACCGCUGCAAACCCGUGAGGGGGAGCUAAUCGGAAAAAGCCGGCCUCAGUUCGGAUUGUAGUCUGCAACUCGACUACAUGAAGCUGGAAUCGCUAGUAAUCGCGGAUCAGAACGCCGCGGUGAAUACGUUCCCGGGCCU
rnacentral:rRNA from 1 species